CGAAGCUGAUGCAGCACGCCGCGUGAGUGAUGAAGGCCUUCGGGUUGUAAAGCUCUUUCCUGGGGGACGAAAAUGGCCGGUCCCCCAGGACAAGCCCCCGCCUAUUUCCUUGCCACAACCCCCGGUAUACCUCCGGGCCCGCCCCUGUUCAAAAUUUAUGGGGCUUAAGGGUGCCUUAGUUGGUUGGCCAAUUCGGGGGGGAAGGCCCUUGGUUAACCCGGGAAAUGCCUCCCAAACUUCAACUCUUGAAUGCCGUAGAAGAGGGUGGAAUUUCGGGUGGAGAGGGGAGAUUGGAAUUUCUUGGGAAGAACACCAUUUGCUAAAGUUGCUCUCUAGC
rnacentral:rRNA from 1 species